AUUCUGGAAUGUUGUAGUAAUGCUUGUGCCUUUGAGUUGCAGUGUGGCCAAAUGUACAGGACAAAACACAAUUCGAAAAUGAACUCCGGCAUUAUUCUGGGAAAGACAAGGGGAAUCUAUGGAAGCUGGUCAUUCUUCCUAGCUCAGACCUGGAGUAGGAUGAUUGGGCUUCCCAAGGGUGGCAGCACCAGCAAGGCUGGCAGCAACUAUCUCCUGUGGAAAGUCAAGCACAUCUUUACGGAUUGCUUACUCUGUGCCAGGGAUUGUGCCCUGGGGAUACUAUCUUGUCAUCAUAGUCACAUCUACAUCUUUAUUAAAUGUUUCCGUCAGUCCGUGCUUGCUGGGUGCUCCAAGGGAGUUAACUGGAGUCAACAGUGGCCUCCCUGAACUCUGUGGAAAAGACAAUUUGCAUACGCUUCUUCUAUUACAGUGUUCAGUGUUUGGAAAUGAGCAGUCUUGCAUUGUUAUGCAAACUCCAAGGUACAGCUGAAGGACUGUGGCCAGUAGAUUCACAGUUGUGUGAUCCUUGGAUUUUUAGAUCUACCAGGCAGGCAGUGGUAAAGUGCAUUUUAUCACAGUGUGUCCAGGAGACAUUUGAUGGAGCAGAACCCAGCUCUCUGCAUCUGAGCCGGAUCUCCUUGCCAGAGCUCUGCAAGAAUGAUUUUUUGUUUCCGCCCCCAUGUUGGCAAGAGAGUCUCAGGCAUCUGAAUGCAGCAGGACAGGACACAUCUUGUAAAGAAUCUCCAGAAAGGAACACAACCCUUCCGACACCUUGAUUUUAGUCCAGUGAGAGCCAUGUUGGACUUCUGAUCUUCAGAAUUGUAAGAGGUAGAAAGAAAUCGAUUGCUUUGGUUUUCUGAUAGCACAAACCUGGCUGCAGAUCUGAAACAGAAUGAACUGGCAUUAGAGUGAUAGCAGGCCAGCCUGCCAACAGCACCCUUUCUCAUGACAGCAAGCUAAUGCUGGAAAUGGUCAGGACAAAGGUCUAAGUUUGUAAUCAACUGCAAACGUGGACUCUUCCAUUCGGAUAGCACUUGUUCUCCUCCAGCUGAAAGAAAAGGACAAGAAUGGAUGUUUUCUUAGCAACUACAGUGCUGGAUCAUCACAUAUCUCAUCUGAUCUUAACACAAGUACUCUGUGAGUUCCAAGGCACAUAUAAAAUGCCUACAGAUCUCAACAAGAAAACGGGAUGUUUCUCUGCUAUCAGCUAAAGCUGCUGUGACCAUAAAACGAAAAAAUCACCUAUUGUCUCCUUGCUCAUAAAGAAUGCCCACUAAAAUUGGUCCAGUAUCUUAUCUCUCCAUCCAGACAGUGCUUGUUGCUAAAUACACAGCCUGUUUUUACAGUCUUCACUGAACUCUGGUUUCCGCCAUUUUCAGUGGGGGGAAAAUUUGUAUGAAAAGUUCAUAAGUAAUGUGCAAAUGGGCUAUAUUUUUGCAACUUGCUUUCAUUGUCAUCUGGGAUCCAUCGAGAUUCUUCUGGGGAGACUGAACACCGUUCUGUGCUGCUAGUCUGGAGGAGUGAGGAGAGAAAGCAUGACCCUACCACUUGGAUGGGAGUUUCUGACAUUGCAAGGGCAAAGAUUCUGAACAUCAAAGAUAUCCUUGAUCAUAGAUCUUUGAAAGCAACUCUAAAACUUUCAGAAUGGACAAAAAGAGGCCUUUCCCAUCUCCACUGAGUCCUGAGAAAUAAGAUGUAUAUUUGAGAUGCAGCAAGAAAGACUUUAGAUUCUUAACUUUUGGGAAGGUCACAUACCCC
ensembl:lncRNA